UGACCAUCCCUCAAGGCCGAGUGGGAUGCGUAUGAAG
rfam:Karshi virus, complete genome